rnacentral:rRNA from 1 species
UACGUAGGUGGCAAGCGUUAUCCGGAUUUAUUGGGCGUAAAGGGAACGCAGGCGGUCUUUUAAGUCUGAUGUGAAAGGCAGUGGCUCAACCAUUGUAUGCAUUGGAAACUGGUAGACUUGAGUGCAGGAGAGGAGAGUGGAAUUCCAUGUGUAGCGGUGAAAUGCGUAGAUAUAUGGAGGAACACCGGUGGCGAAAGCGGCUCUCUGGCCUGUAACUGACACUGAGGCUCGAAAGCGUGGGGAGCAAACAGG